rnacentral:rRNA from 1 species
AGAGUUUGAUCCCGGCUCAGAAUCAACGCUGGCGGCGCGCCUAACACAUGCAAGUCGAACGAGAAAAUGGAGCAAUCCAUGAGUAAAGUGGCGUACGGGUGAGUAACACGUGGAUAAUCUGCCCUUUAGUGGGGAAUACCGCUGGGAAACCGGCGACAAUACCGCAUAAGCUCGAGAGAGGAAAGCGGUUCUAUGAAAGUAGAGCCGCGCUGAAGGAGGAGUCCGCGGUCGAUUAGCUAGUUGGUGAGGUAAUGGCUCACCAAGGCUGUGAUCGAUAGCCGGCCUGAGAGGGCACACGGCCACACUGGCACUGAAACACGGGCCAGACUCCUACGGGAGGCAGCAGUGGGGAAUCUUGCACAAUGGGGGAAACCCUGAUGCAGCGACGCCGCGUGAGCGAUGAAGCCCUUCGGGGUGUAAAGCUCUUUCGGCAGGGAAGAUUAUGACGGUACCUGCAGAAGCAGCUGCGGCUAACUACGUGCCAGCAGCCGCGGUAAUACGUAGGCAGCAAGCGUUGUUCGGAGUUACUGGGCGUAAAGGGUGCGUAGGCGGCUCGAUAAGUAUGGUGUGAAAUCUCCCGGCUUAACUGGGAGGGUGCGCUAUAGACUGCCGGGCUGGAGGGUGGGAGAGGAAAGUGGAAUUCCUGGUGUAGCGGUGAAAUGCGUAGAUAUCAGGAGGAACACCGGUGGUGUAAACGGCUUUCUGGACCACUUCUGACGCUGAUGCACGAAAGCGUGGGUAGCAAACAGGAUUAGAUACCCUGGUAGUCCACGCCCUAAACGAUGCAUACUUGGUGUGGGUCAUUCAGUUGAUCUGUGCCGGAGCUAACGCGUUAAAUAUGCCGCCUGGGGAGUACAGUCGCAAGGCUGAAACUCAAAGGAUUUGACGGGGGCCCGCACAAGCGGUGGAGCAUGUGGUUUAGUUCGACGCAACGCGAAGAACCUUACCUGGGCUCGAAAUGCUAUGGACCAGCUGAUGAAAGUCGGCCUUCCCGCAAGGGACCGUAGUAUAGGUGCUGCAUGGCUGUCGUCAGCUCGUGUCGUGAGAUGUUGGGUUAAGUCCCGCAACGAGCGCAACCCUUGUCCUGUGUUGCCAUACUGUAAAAAGUGGAACUCGCAGGAGACCGCCAGGGAUAACCUGGAGGAAGGUGGGGAUGACGUCAAGUCCUCAUGGCCUUUAUGUCCAGGGCUACACACGUGCUACAAUGGACGGUACAAAGGGCUGCCAACCCGCGAGGGGGAGCCAAUCC